UACGAAGGGGGCGAGCGUUGUUCGGAUUUACUGGGCGUAAAGGGCGCGCAGGCGGCUCAUUUUGUCAGGCGUGAAAGCCCCGGGCUUAACCUGGGAGGUGCGUUUGAUACGGAUGGGCUAGAGUUCGGGAGAGGAGAGUGGAAUUCCCGGUGUAGUGGUGAAAUGCGUAGAUAUCGGGAGGAACACCAGUGGCGCAAGCGGCUAACUGGCCGAGACCUGACGCUGAGACGCGACGGCGUGGGGAGCAAACCGG
rnacentral:rRNA from 1 species